rnacentral:lncRNA from 1 species
AUGAGAUUCCCAAGUCUUAAGAACCCCUGCCCUGAACCAUGCUGUGUGUAUGGAGUGGUGGCUUACUGUGAGACAAUUGAUCUCAACCCCAGCAAAGGAACAGAAGUUUCCAAGUGCCCUCUCUCUCCACAAGAACUGUGGAGCUCGCUGCCUGGAAGACACCUGACACCAUGUAUAGAACUGGCGCAGCUAAGAUGCGGCCUUCAGGCUGCACUGAGAUUCCCUAGCUGUGUCCACGCUAACAGGGAACCAGAGACCAGGCCUUGGGGACCUGUGAACAUCACAUUUAUCAUUUCAACAGGCCCCGGAAGCGCAGGUGACAGAUGGGUCCCAUGUCACUGUUCAGACCACAGCUGUCAAAAUGGCUGUAAGAAAACGUUCCUAAUUGCACUUGAAUCAAGUGAAAUCUAACCAUCUAGCCUCCCACAUGUUUUAAUCUGGUUUGUUCCCUGACAGUAGAAUAUACAAAUAAAGGUCGAUUUCACAGGAGAUGCUUCAAAAAAGAGCAGAACGGGUUGGCGGCGGGAGUGCCUCGGGCGGACGCGGAGUGAAGAUGGCCCGCCGCGGCGAGAGGGGGGGUAGCGGGCGCCCGGUGCGGAGUGAGCUAGACGGGCCCGAACGAGCUGGCUUGGCGGCGGCUGCACGCACUGCUGUGCCUGCACCGCGCGCCGUCCCGUCCGCAGGGCAGCGUGCCCGCUUUGGCGCCUGGUCC